rnacentral:rRNA from 1 species
AACGAACGCUGGCGGCGCGCCUAAUACAUGCAAGUCGAGCGAGAAGACGUAGCAAUACGUUUGUAAAGCGGCGAACGGGUGAGGAAUACAUGGGUAACCUACCCUCGAGUGGGAAUAACUAGCCGAAAGGUUAGCUAAUACCGCGUACGCUCCUUGGACUUCGGUUCAGGGAGGAAAGCGAUACCGUGGGUAUCGCGCUCUUGGAUGGGCUCAUGUCCUAUCAGCUUGUUGGUGAGGAACGGCUCACCAAGGCUUCGACGGGUAGCUGGUCUGAGAGGACGAUCAGCCACACUGGCACUGCGACACGGGCCAGACUCCUACGGGAGGCAGCAGUAAGGAUAUUGCGCAAUGGGCGAAAGCCUGACGCAGCGACGCCGCGU